rnacentral:rRNA from 1 species
GAUGAACGCUGGCGGCGUGCCUAAUACAUGCAAGUCGAGCGAACAGACGAGGAGCUUGCUCCUCUGACGUUAGCGGCGGACGGGUGAGUAACACGUGGAUAACCUACCUAUAAGACUGGGAUAACUUCGGGAAACCGGAGCUAAUACCGGAUAAUAUAUUGAACCGCAUGGUUCAAUAGUGAAAGACGGUUUUGCUGUCACUUAUAGAUGGAUCCGCGCCGCAUUAGCUAGUUGGUAAGGUAACGGCUUACCAAGGCAACGAUGCGUAGCCGACCUGAGAGGGGGGUGGGGCAGCAGGGAAGUGGGCAACGGGCAGGACGCCUGCGGGAGGCAGCAGUGGGGAAUCGUCGGAGAAGGGCGAAAGCCUGAAGGAGCAAGGCCGCGGGAAAGAUGAAGGUCUUCGGAUAGUAAAACUCUCUUAGUAGUGAAGAACAAAGGAGUCAGGAACUAUGCACGGCUUGACGGUACCUAAUCAGAAAGCCAAGGCUACCUACGUG